AACGAACGCUGGCGGCAUGCCUAACACAUGCAAGUCGAACGAGACCUUCGGGACUAGUGGCGCACGGGUGCGUAACGCGUGGGAACCUGCCCUUAGGUUCGGAAUAACUCCCCGAAAGGGGUGCUAAUACCGGAUAAUGUCUUCGGACCAAAGAUUUGUCGACUUUGGAUGGGCCCGCGUUGGAUUAGCUAGUUGGUAGGGUAAAAGCCUACCAAGGCGACGAUCCAUAGCUGGUCUGAGGGGAUGAUCAGCCACACUGGGACUGAGACACGGCCCAGACUCCUACGGGAGGCAGGAGUGGGGAAUAUUGGACAACGGGCGAAAGGCUGAUCCAGCAAGGCCGGGUGAGUGAUGAAGUCCUUAGGGUUGUAAAGCUCUUUUACCCGGGAUGAUAAUGACAGUACCGGGAGAAUAAGCUCCGGCUAACUCCGUG
rnacentral:rRNA from 1 species